ACAGCUCCGCCCUCUCCGCCGCCUCAUCCCGGCAAGCUCGAAUUCCAAAUUUGUACUGGUAAAAGGAUUCCAGACAUUAUGUCUCAUGUGCUUGCAGUUUCUUGUACUUUAAAUCCCUCUCCUGCCAGUAAGACUUCCUUAAGGUCACUCAAUCAGCAUUCUGUUCUCAGUCAUACUUCUGUUACAUUUCGGAAUCAAGUAUCUUCAUAUACAAAGCUAUUGCAUAGGGAGU
rnacentral:misc_RNA from 1 species